rnacentral:rRNA from 1 species
GACGAACGCUGACGGCGUGCUUAACACAUGCAAGUCGAACGAUGACGACCGAGCUUGCUCGGUCUGAUUAGUGGCGAACGGGUGAGUAACACGUGAGCAACCUGCCCUUCACUCUGGGAUAACCUCGGGAAAUCGGGGCUAAUACCGGAUAUGAGCUCCUGUCGCAUGGCGGGUGUUGGAAAGUUUUUCGGUGAAGGAUGGGCUCGCGGCCUAUCAGUUUGUUGGUGAGGUAGUGGCUCACCAAGGCGAUGACGGGUAGCCGGCCUGAGAGGGCGACCGGCCACACUGGGACUGAGACACGGCCCAGACUCCUACGGGAGGCAGCAGUGGGGAAUAUUGCACAAUGGGCGAAAGCCUGAUGCAGCGACGCCGCGUGAGGGAUGACGGCCUUCGGGUUGUAAACCUCUUUCAGCAGGGAAGAAGCGAAAGUGACGGUACCUGCAGAAGAAGCGCCGGCUAACUACGUG